rnacentral:rRNA from 1 species
GUGCCAGCAGCCGCGGUAAUACCAGCACCCCGAGUGGUCGGGACGUUUAUUGGGCCUAAAGCAUCCGUAGCCGGUUCUACAAGUCUUCCGUUAAAUCCACCUGCUUAACAGAUGGGCUGCGGAAGAUACUAUAGAGCUAGGAGGCGGGAGAGGCAAGCGGUACUCGAUGGGUAGGGGUAAAAUCCGUUGAUCCAUUGAAGACCACCAGUGGCGAAGGCGGCUUGCCAGAACGCGCUCGACGGUGAGGGAUGAAAGCUGGGGGAGCAAACCGGAUUAGAUACCCGGGUAGUCCCAGCUGUAAACGAUGCAGACUCGGUGAUGAGUUGGCUUUUUGCUAACUCAGUGCCGCAGGGAAGCCGUUAAGUUUGCCGCCUGGGGAGUACGGUCGCAAGACUGAAACUCAAAUGAAUUGGCGGGG